rnacentral:rRNA from 1 species
UACGUAGGGUGCGAGCGUUGUCCGGAAUUACUGGGCGUAAAGAGCUCGUAGGUGGUUUGUCGCGUUGUUCGUGAAAACUCACAACUCAAUUGUGGGCGUGCGGGCGAUACGGGGCAGACUGGAGUACUGCAGGGGGAGACUGGAAUUCCUGGUGUAGCGGUGGAAUGCGCAGAUAGUCAGGAGGAACACCGAUGGCGAAGGCAGGGAUCACUGGGCC